GGGCGUUUAGUAUUUGGUCGUAGACCCGAAACCAGGUGAUCUACCCUUGGUCAGGUUGAAGUUCAGGUAACACUGAAUGGAGGACCGAACCGACUUACGUUGAAAAGUGAGCGGAUGAACUGAGGGUAGCGGAGAAAUUCCAAUCGAACCUGGAGAUAGCUGGUUCUCUCCGAAAUAGCUUUAGGGCUAGCCUCAAGUGAUGAUUAUUGGAGGUAGAGCACUGUUUGGACGAGGGGCCCCUCUCGGGUUACCGAAUUCAGACAAACUCCGAAUGCCAAUUAAUUUAACUUGGGAGUCAGAACAUGGGUGAUAAGGUCCGUGUUCGAAAGGGAAACAGCCCAGACCACCAGCUAAGGUCCCAAAAUAUAUGUUAAGUGGAAAAGGAUGUGGCGUUGCCCAGACAACUAGGAUGUUGGCUUAGAAGCAGCCAUCAUUUAAAGAGUGCGUAAUAGCUCACUAGUCGAGUGACACUGCGCCGAAAAUGUACCGGGGCUAAACAUAUUACCGAAGCUGUGGAUUGUCCUUUGGACAAUGGUAGGAGAGCGUUCUAAGGGCGUUGAAGCAUGAUCGUAAGGACAUGUGGAGCGCUUAGAAGUGAGAAUGCCGGUGUGAGUAGCGAAAGACGGGUGAGAAUCCCGUCCACCGAUUGACUAAGGUUUCCAGAGGAAGGCUCGUCCGCUCUGGGUUAGUCGGGUCCUAAGCUGAGGCCGACAGGCGUAGGCGAUGGAUAACAGGUUGAUAUUCCUGUACCACCUAUA
rnacentral:rRNA from 1 species